rnacentral:tRNA from 1 species
GUCCCUGUAGCACAAUGGAUAGUGCACCAGCCUUCUAAGCUGGCCAUGAUGGUUCGAUUCCAUCCGGGGACACCA